rnacentral:lncRNA from 1 species
CCCUGGCUGGGGACACGGGAGCUUGCAGCACUCCCUGAUACACAUCAGCUGGGGGUGCAGAGCCCCUGGGGGUCCUGCAAAGCUGGGGGGCAGUUGGCACUGGUGCAGCCCCCGGUCCUUGUCUCUGCACGCUCCAGCUUUGGCUUUUUGUCGAAGCAUUUCCUCCUGCAGGGCUUGAGAAGGAGGAACCCUGCCCGCCCAUCGCCUGCUGCUCCGUGCCCGGCUCCAGCAGCACGCCCAGGUCUGCCGAGGAGCCUGGAGAUAUUUAGCGAGCUUGGCAGGUGCCCGGCUCCCUCUGGGCUUACUUUUCUCCUCGCUUCCCAUCGAUAUUUCCCAGCCAAAACAUCCUCCUCCCCGGGGGAGCCUCGCAAAGAUCCUUAUCGAUCCGCGGGCCUCACUGCGAGGGGGAGGAAUGUGCGGGUGGGUGGCGAGGGACGAGCUGUACAGUGGGGACGGUGCCAGGACGCGAGGCUGCUGGGGAAGGAAGAGAGUGCCUGGAAAGCACAGCUCACCGCGGGGCCCUGGGCUGCAGGCAGAGAGCUGCUCGCUCUGGGGCAUUCGGAGAAAUCCUGCCUUCGAGUGGGGAAAAAAAAACAUGAGGCUGUGCUGCCCCAAAGGAGCUUUCAGCGUUGGUUCGCGAGGAGUUUAUCUCGAAGCUUGUGCAACGACUGGAGCGGCUCCAUGCCGAAACGGAUUGGGAGCAGAGCAAAAACCACCAAGCCAGGAAAACAAACCUGGAGCUCGAGCCGAGCCCUGAUGGAUAACCCCAGCUCCCAGGACCUCUGGAGUUCAUCUGCAGCAAGCUGGGAGCUCACCACGACACAUUUCAUCAUGAGACUCCCUGUACCGCCGGGGGAGGCAGGAGCCUCGUCGCGCCAGCCUCUCCCACUGCAUUGCUGUGCCCUUUCCUCAGCCUCGGUGGCUCUCUGCUUGAAGGAAAAAAAGGGAGAGCAGCAGCUCGAGCUGGACAGGAGCGGGGUUUUCAGUUUCACUGGAACGGCUGCGCAUUCUGCUUUUUUUUUUUCUUUUCCCACUCCAAAAUAA